ACGCUCGACACCUACGAGAGGCAGCAGUGGGGAAUAUUGCACAAUGGGGGAAACCCUGAUGCAGCGAUGCCGCGUGAAGGAAGAAGUAUCUCGGUAUGUAAACUUCUAUCAGCAGGGAAGAAAAUGACGGUACCUGACUAAGAAGCCCCGGCUAACUACGUGCCCGCAGCCGCGGUAAUCUGAGCGGGCUGGCAAGGC
rnacentral:rRNA from 1 species